CCUACGGGCGGCAGCAGUGAGGAAUAUUGGUCAAUGGGCGGAAGCCUGAACCAGCCAAGUCGCGUGAGGGAAUAAGGCCCUACGGGUCGUAAACCUCUUUUGCCGGGGAGCAAGGUCGGGGACGUGUCCCGUCCCGGAGAGUACCCGGAGAAAAAGCAUCGGCUAACUCCGUGCCAGCAGCCGCGGUAAUACGGAGGAUGCGAGCGUUAUCCGGAUUUAUUGGGUUUAAAGGGUGCGUAGGCGGGCUUUUAAGUCAUCGGUAAAAAUUCGGGUCUCAACCCCGUCCGGCCGUUGAAACUGGGGGCAUUGAGUGCGCGAGAGGAAGGCGGAAUGCGUGGUGUAGCGGUGAAAUGCAUAGAUAUCACGCAGAACCCCGAUUGCGAAGGCAGCCUUCCGGCGCCCUACUGACGCUGAGGCACGAAAGUGCGGGGAUCGAACAGGAUUAGAUACCCCUGUAGUC
rnacentral:rRNA from 1 species